rnacentral:rRNA from 1 species
UACAGAGGGUGCGAGCGUUGUUCGGAAUUAUUGGGCGUAAAGCGCUUGUAGGCGGCGCGUCAAGUCGCGUGUGAAAUCCCGAGGCUCAACCUCGGAAGUGCGCGCGAAACUGGCGUGCUCGAGUCCCGGAGAGGGUGGCGGAAUUCCCGGUGUAGAGGUGAAAUUCGUAGAUAUCGGGAGGAACACCAGAGGCGAAGGCGGCCACCUGGAAGGAGACUGACGCUGAGAAGCGAAAGCGUGGGGAGCAAACAGG